AUUGAACGCUGGCGGCAGGCCUAACACAUGCAAGUCGAACGAGUGGCGGACGGGUGAGUAAUGUCUGGGAAACUGCCCGAUGGAGGGGGAUAACUACUGGAAACGGUAGCUAAUACCGCAUACCAUCGGAUGUGCCCAGAUGGGAUUAGCUAGUAGGGGGGGUAAAGGCUCACCUAGGCGACGAUCCCUAGCUGGUCGGAGAGGGUGAACAGCCACACUGGAACUGAGACACGGUCCAGACUCCUACGGGAGGCAGCAGUGGGGAAUAGUGCACAAUGGGCGCAAGCCUGAUGCAGCCAUGCCGCGUGUGUGAAGAAGGCCUGCGGUUUGUAAAGCACUUUCAGCGGGGAGGCGUUACCCGCAGAAGACGCACCGGCUAACUCCGUGCCAGCAGCCGCGGUAAUAC
rnacentral:rRNA from 1 species